ACUACUAUAACAGGUCAGUUAACUAGUGAUAGUAUAGUGUUGACAUCUACACUACUAUAACAGGUCAGUUAUCUGGUGAUAGUAUAGUGUUCUGAUAUCUACACUACUAUAACAGGUCAGUUAUCUGGUGAUAGUAUAGUGUUCUGAUAUCUACACUACUAUAACAGGUCAGUUAUCUGGUGAUAGUAUAGUGUUGACAUCUACACUACUAUAACAUGUCAGUUAUCUGGUGAUAGUAUAGUGUUGACAUCUACACUACUAUAACAGGUCAGUUAUCUG
ensembl:lncRNA